GGGUUAUGCAAUGGAAAUUCCAUAACCCUCACAGUGGGGGCACCUCUGAUCCUGAACUGCACUUCUCAGACUCCUUAUUCUGAUGUGCUGCUUUGAUGGUAUGUUCAACAUCUCAACAAAGCCCCUCAACUACUCCCGAAAAGCUUGGAAGAUACCAAGACAGAGCACCAAGGGUUCCACGCCACUCUCCAUAAGAGCAGCAGCUCCUUCCAUCUGCAGAAGUCCUCAGUGCAGUUGUCAGAC